GGACCAGGCGGGGGAGGAACACCUCUAAGAAGAAUUGGGAAACCUUGGAAAGUUUUGAAAACUUGAGCCAAGUCUUCAUAAGGCACCUGCCAGCAGAAGAGCUACUGAGGGGAUGAGCUGGGGGCUCCUGGAAGCCCGCGGGACCCUUCCUGACCUGCUCCCCACCUCAAACUUUCUCCAUGCUGUUUCCCAUAGUCCGGCCUGAAAGACAAGGUUUAAUGAGCAAGAAAGGAUCUGUCAAUCCGAGGGCUGCAGUGAAUUGCCGAGGGGUAAAUACAGGGCACUGAGUUUCUGCAGGAACGAUGCAUCUUAGAAAAUCGGUCAUCUCCGCACUCUCCAUUCCUCUCUCAAGCAUGUUUUGGAAGCCCAAGCCUAAUCACAUCACCCUCUCUAAAUCCGUCAGUGACUUCUUAUCACUCUUAAGAAAGAGCAAGACUUCUUAAUGACAAGUUACAUGAUUCGGCCCGUUUGUGGAUCCUCUUUUUGGCUAAAGAUCUAGAACAACUGCAUUCUUGCAGAUUAUAAAUUAACAGGCAGUGAGUGAAAUUUUCAGAAUGCCAAGAGCCAGAGUGGGUCAGAGGGCUUCUCAACAGAAUCUUUUAUUUCCACAGUGACGUUAGGUAAUAACCGGAGGUUCACAGCACUGGUUUCGCAGCCUUCUCCAGGGCCUUUGUAUAUGCCAUCUUCUUACCUGUCAAUAACUAUGAAAGGCCUGAGAUUUUAUGCUACUUGCAAGCUAAUGAGAGAGCCACACUUCCCUGGAUUCUGGCAGAAGACUUGAGAAUCCUAAGCCAGAGACAAAGGACUUAUUAUUCGUGCACAGCAAGCAGCAUGGGCUUCAUGUUUGCAUCACUUCCUGUGAUAAGAAAAGAGUGAUUUUGAGUUGCUGCCUAGACAUUUGACGGUAUGACAACCCUGCUCACACCCAGAGUCUGGACAUUUAGCUAAGGACCCAAUUUAGGAUUCUCACUCCACAAGUUACUGCUUUGCUUUUCCUGGGGCACCUUUUAAAAUAACCACUUGGAGCUGAGCCCACAGAAAGUUAGUAACUGCUGCCCCCAACCACCUUGGAAGUGAUGGGUGGACUUCUGCCAGACAGGAGUUCAAAUUCAUUUCCAAAUCCUUGGCUCCAACACUGUAUUGGUGUCGCACCUAGUAGAUGCUGUCAAAAACUCACAGAUGGAAACAUCCAGGCAAGAAAACAAUGGCGAAAAGUGAAAAGGAGUCGUCAGACUUCAGAAACAAAGAUUGGCUCGUCAAAGACAAAACCCAACCAGUAU